UCCGAGCCGUUUCUAGGCAGCCCUCCCCCUCACCAGCUCCAGCAGACCCCCCCUCCUUUCUCCUUCUCCCUCCCCCCCAUGCCAGCCCCUCCUCCUGCGUCUGGGCUGAGUGAUCAAAAUAGAGGAAGAUGGUUGUCGCCGCAAUCCCGGGCAUUGCAAGGCCUCCUGUCAGCUUCCUUCUUCGGGAGGAGGUGACAAGCUAGCCGGGAAGAGCCGGUAGCCGGCGGGCUGCUCAUUGCGCCCGCGCCCGGUGCUCCCUCUCCAGGGUGCCACUCCAAAGAGCGAGGUUCAGACGCCAAAAUAACAAGGCCUGCUUUCUUUCUCUCUCUCUCUCUCUCUCUCUCUCUCUCUCUCUCUCUCUCUCUCUCUCUCUCUCUCUCAAAAUAAAGCAGCGAUUCAUUCCCUGUCCCCCUAGCAGUCGCGGUCGGGUGGGGUGGGCAAGCAGGCCACAAGGACUUUUUUUUUCUUUUGCCCCAGCCUGCGGGUCCCCUCCCUGAAACGCGGUGUAAGAAGGCUUUACUGAUUAAUAUUUUGGACAGGCCGCGGCGGUCGGCAGCGGUGAGUUGCAUCUUAUAAAAAGGGUUCCUAUAGAAACCCGGGCUGUGGGGCUCUGCGGCCGAGUGCGCAACGCGCGCCCCUCCCCAAAGCCCCUUUUGGCGUGGGCGCUCCUCCUUUCCCCUCCACCCCCCCCCCAAGAAAAACCAGAGCAGAAAAAAGGAUUAGAUCGGCGGAACGCGAGCUGAAUCCCUCUCGGUUCUGACAUUUCAGCCCUAUUAGCAUUUCUCCACGGGGCCUUCUGAAACCUAUUAAGGUGUAAUAUUAAAAACCUCUUGGCUGGGGGCCUCUCUCGCCUUCCAUCCGCCGCGCCCCCUCCAGGGAGGGCGAGACCGGGAAAGGGAAAAAAAAAAAUCUGUUGAGCUCAGACGAAGCAAGCCAAGCCCAAAAGUGCUUGGCUGGCCACGGCGGCCAGAGGGGGAGGGGAGCACCAAUCCCCCAGACUUUGUACUUUUAUUUUGCUCUUUCAGCAAAAGAAAAAAAAAAAACUUUCGGGGUUAAGUGACCGGGAGCCGCCGACGGCAGAUAGACCUGGCUGGAGACCCAGGGAGUGUGGUCCUCGCCGAAGGGACCGGUCCUAAAAGGGUGGGGGGAUCCCCUGCACCCUCUCCGCAAGCCCUACAGGAGCCCGAGCCCAGCUAGGCAUUACCUACCCUGGAAAGGAAGCUUGGGAAGGCAGAGAGGCUUGCAGAUCCUGCCUCGAGAGCAACCGUGGUUAUAGGGUUUUAAUUAAAACAAAAGAAGCCCGCUCUUUCGCCCUGCUCUGCGGACUCAGCGUUUUCCUACUGCUGCUAUUUUUUUUUUUAAAGAAAAUCCAUUUUUAAGGCAAUUUUUGAGAGUUUUUUUUAAUGAGCUAGUUAGCGCUCAUCCGUUCUAUUUUUCUUUUCUCCACUUUUAGAAAGAAAAAAAAAGAGGGAAGAUUCUAGAGAGAGAGCUGGGGGUGUCUAAUUUAAUUCCAGGAUAAAUUUGAAGGGAAAAAAAUUCGGCCUCUUGAGAGCAGUUUCAAGUUGCCCUUCCUGGAGCUUUCUGCGCUGGUUUCUAGGCUGCCCUCUUUUAGAAGCUGGGGCUCGGUGGGGGGAGGAGGGAGGAGUGAGAAGGAGAGAAAAGAACGAAAAUAGCCGGAGCCGAGGGGAACUGAGCGGCGGUGUCCGCGCGCUCAGAGCUGGGCGAGCGGGUCUCAGUGGCAGCCAGGGGCAACCGGAGGCGACCGGUGCUGCCCGGGGACCGCCAGGAGCAAAGACGGAGAGAGGGGGGUUAGAGAAAGGAGGUAUUGUGUCUAUGUGCCUUAGGGGAGGGGGGAGUUGAUUGCAAGAAAUAAAAUAAAUGCUGUUACGCUGCGAGGGCUGAUGGAAACAAGAGAGACCGGCUGAGGGGGUGGGGGGCGCCUAGUGCCCUUGAGUCUUAUCCAGAGGCCUUUGUGGGUUCCCAGUUAAACCCUCCCACGCCUCAGUCGCUCGAUUUCCCCCACCCCCAACGCCCUCCAAUAUUCAGAGCGCAGGCCCUGAUCUCCCACCAACCCCCUCAUCCCUCUCGGGAUCCAGAAUGUUUUUCUUAUUUUAAUACAGCUCAAGAAAAAAUAUGUAUCUUGAGAGGAUCGGGGUGGGGGAUUGUGCAAAAGGCUUGCGGGAUUGGAAAAAAACAAAGGCCUGUUUUUAUAAAUGUUUAAUGUUUUCACCCCUGGAUGCUCCAAGACGCCGUAAUUGUGACGGCGGGGUAUGUGUGCCAUAAAUCAUUUAGCUGCUAAUAAAAAAUUAUUCCAAUUUUCCCCGGAUUUGCCGAUGGCGUUUGCAUUUUUCAAGUGUGCCCCGGGUCGGCGUGGCAUACCGACCCAGAGUUUCAUUAGGUCUGAGGUUGGGGCGGAACAUGACACGUCCCCCUCUGGAAUGUAUGACUCCCCGGUCCCCUCUCGACCUGCCACCCGGCCCCCAGGCCACCGGGGUGCGCUGGGCCUAGGGGACCGGAUUCCCGGCCCCCAGGAGGGGAACGCUGCUUGAGUCUCUCUUGCAUCUCUCCAGGCUGCCAAGUGCAGCGUGCGGUGCGCAGGCCAGUGCCCAGGUCUCUGUUUCCCUGUGUCCCUCACAUUUAACAGCGGUCGGGAGCCAUGUUGGGGCGUGGGGACAUUUCUAGAGAAGCAGAGGCUAUACUACACCACCACUUCAGAGAGCCUCCAGGUCUGGGGAAAUAACCUCCAAGCCGGGCUGGGCCACACUUAACUACAAAAGCCCGGUGAGGCCGUCCUGAAAUGGAACUGGAAACAACCGCAGGGACCACGAGUCCAGGCGCCAUCUUCCGCGCCCCAUCCCCCAUGCUUGUUUACCCGGUGGGAUCCGUGGCCAGAAAAAUUCCGUUGACGCUGUGUGUGUGUGUGUGUGUGUGUGUGUGUGUGUGUGUGUGUGUGUGUGUGUGUGUGUGUGUGUGUGUUGUACUGACUGGAGAGAAAAUCGUGGGGGGCCUGCAGCGAAGUCCCAAGUUCCCCGACAAACCGCCCGGCUGGCCUGCCGGGUCUGGCAUAGUUGUCCCCGGCCACUCCUGUGGCUUUUGGUGUAUUCUUCCAGAUAUCUGGUCCAGGUCUGAAAGCUCUGGACGAGUCCCCACGGACAAAACUCAAAGCUCUUUGUUGUAAAACCAGAGGACAGGCCAACCUUGAGUGCGGCUGCCUUCCCUGUGGUGCGCCUUUGUCCGGCUCCAGGGAACCCCGCGCUCCCCUCACUUCUGCCCCAAGAAAGCUUGAACCCUCAUCUUCCACAAUCCGGAUGUUGUUAGCCGUGUGGACAGGUUUCCACCCAUGUUCCUCCAUCAGGGGAACGGGGAAGAGAUUUAAAAAAAAAAAAGCUAAUUUCCAUUCCUAAGAGAACAUCCAAGUGACCCCCUCUACCCGAUGCCCCGAACCAGCUCUCCGGGGAGUGGAACGCCACUGGAGACUAAGUGACAGGGAUCCUAAGAAAAAGCCAGCUUGUGCCUCCGGUGCUGCCACCGUAGAGUCUAAGGCGGGUGUUUCCGUAGAUCCUAAAUCCGGCUGCCCGGGAGCUCCCGGCCCGGGCGCCGCUAAAACCCGGAGAGGCCAAGCCGGGCCCAGCCACGCUCGCAGUUUCUCGCUGCGGCUGGCCCAUCAGCAGCUGGGUAUCCUGAAGUUCAUCCAGCCAAGGGUAGCCCAAACCCGCCAACAAAACCAAGGAUCUGGUGCCAGAGCCUCGCACGCCACCCCGGACCCAAGCGAGCAGCUCGCAGCCCAGGGGCGGUGGCACCCGGCCACUUCGGAUUUCUGCUCCUCUCAGCCCCGCCUCCGACCCUGGCCUCCUCCUCUGGCCCGGGUCGGGUCUUACAUUCCACUGUCUUGGCUCGAGAUGCAUUUGGUGCGCAGGGAGCGGCCAGGGUCAUAAAUCUGCACUCAGGCCCUCCUCCUCGAGGUAGGGCCAGGCACUCUUUUCUCCUUGGUCAUGGCCUGAGGACCCCGAGACCACGCAGGAAGCAAGCCAGGAGCUUCCUCAUUCGCCUAAGAGAGGGAACUGCCUCACCCUCUCUGUGCCAGCACCCGGAGUCUUGGGCCUCACAGAUCACCGGCAGCUGGGAUGCGGGGUGCAGGGAUAUGGAAAGCUUGGAUGGAAAGCACGGAGCUCUUGGAUUCCCAGCGAUGUCUCAAAAACACUAUUAGAGGGGCCGAGGGCUUUGGGUCGGGCGCAGAGAAAUAUGAGCACUGACCCGCGUAGUAGCGGAGCAGCAAGAGGUUGUAUAUCCACAUUCCGGGCCAGGCAGUCCCUGCAAGGCCCCAACGAAGCGCCUCGGAAAAAAAACAAAGCUUUGCCAGUUUCAUCCAAGGUUAAACUCCACCGCAAGCAUUUUUCUUUUUCUUUCUUCUUCCUAUUUUUUUCCCCUCCCCGGAAUCAGAGCGAUAGCGUUACUGCAAAGAAACCGCAAAUAAAUCAACUUCUCGGCAGCCCGCUUUAGAGCUGCGGUGACCUUGGGGGGAAUGUUUUCCUGCUAGACCCGUCCCAGAACUGGCGUGGGGGAGGGGACCCACUGUCAUCCCAGUCCCCCCACACAACCCUAGAGAAGAAGGAGAAGGGGGUGGCCAAGGACACUGGCGGGUGUAUAUUAUGGCAUGUGUGCCCGGGGUGAGGAGUUUGGAAAGAGGUCAGGGGGGUAUUGUGGUUAUUAUUUAAGGGGGACAGUGUCCGGUAACGGGGGAUUUGCUACCGCGAAAAGGCCUGUGUACCCCAGACUGCGGUACCCCCUCCGCAAACGCCAUACUAGUCCCUGGGGAAUGGGGAACAAACCCCGAUGGACAAACGAGGCCUCUUUGGGGACCUCUGGUCUUUGUCUGGGUGUGACCGGGUGUGUUCCGCAGCCAGUUUGUGCGGGGUGUGACUAAUCGGAUUUAUGUGUGUGAGUGCCGGGGUGACUAAUGGAGGGUUUGGCAGCACGUGUGUUUGGGGAGGGGCGCUGCACCUAGGUGGGGACUCAGUGCCCCAGGAGGGGGCUGCCUGAUCUCAGAAGUUUCCUCCCUUCCCCCUUUCUCCUGGCUCCCAGCUUUGUUUGGGCCUCUGCGGGGCUGCCUGGCAGGCCCGUGCAUGCUAGGGAGCUGUGGCUCAAAUUCCACAGCAUGCCUGGCGCCCAGAGGCAGCUCCUGGCCUCCCGCCUCCCUAAGCCACGUGGUACCUCCAAAUCUGGGCUGGCCGCUUCCAAAUUGGGACUGUCCCACCCCCUGAAGCUGAGCCCUCCCAGCAUUUUCUACGUUGCCCAAGGAAGCCACUACAGACGCCCAGCUCUGUGAUCUGUGAUACUGUCCUAAAAGAAUUCAUAGAGAUGUCCGAAGUCACAGCGGCACAAGGAAGUCGCUUAGGUUGUGAGUUCGGGGUCUCUUCGGACCUCCCCCCCCACCCCCCGCUCCGGUGCUGUAAAUGGAAUUCAGUCACUCACACACGGUAGUCAAGAACUCCAUCUACCUCUAGGCCUCUAGCUAGAUCCUAGACCCUAGGCCAUAGGGGUCUUGAAGGUGGGGGUGGUUCGGACCUAUAACCGCCACGCUCGGAAGGCAGGGGCGAGUGGCCAUGUGAGUGUACCCAAGCCAGCCAAGGUUUCAUAGUGAAACCUUGUUCCAUGAAAUGGAAAAUAAGUAAAACUCUAGUUUUUAUUUAUUUUCUGGUUAUUUAUGAUAGCGGAGCUAUCCUCCAGAAGUUGAGAGGUGGAAGUUGGGGUACAGGAGUUCAAGGUCAUCCCAUGGUGUUUAACAAAUGUAGGUCUGCAAUUCAGUCCGUCAGUCUCUCUCCCUUUCUCAAAGAAAUCAAUAAAGGGGGCCGGCAAGAUGGCUCGGCAGAUAAAGGCUCUUGCCACUAAGACUGACACUCUGAGGGCCAUCCUGGGAAGCCGGUAGUCAAAAGAGAACAGCCUUGCAGAUGUAUUCCAUAUACAGAUAGUAGAUGGGUGAGAUAUAUAUUAAAUUAUAUAUACAAUUAAAAUUUUUUUAAAUUAAAAAUAAACAAGGAGAUUCUCUAGUGGGUAGUGGGUGUGGUUAGAAAGGUGGGUGCCGGGGUUGGGGAUUUAGCUCAGUGGUAGAGCGCUUGCCUAGGAAGCGCAAGGCCCUGGGUUCGGUCCCCAGUUCCGAAAAAAAGAACCAAAAAAAAAAAGAAAAGAAAAGAAAGGUGGGUGCCGCUCUCCAGACCACGGACCCCAGGACAGAUUAAUUUGGAGGUCCAGAAACCUGGAUACUCACACAUGCCAUCUCUCAAUUCCACAGCCUCUCUGUGGCUUGUAGGCCGGAAGAUCCAAGGAAGUGGGGAGAUCUAACUAAAGUCACACACACCCCCAGCCAAGAAAGAGAUGGGGAGGGAGGAGGUUGACCCUGACCAGAUCUGACCCAGUACACACUCUCUCUCUCUCUCUCUCUCUCUCUCUCUCUCUCUCUCUCUCUCUCUCUCUCCACCUCACUCCCCCCUCCCUCCUUUUUUUUUUCCUUUUUAUCUCUCAUUAGCAUGCAUUUUCUUUCAAGCAGGAAAGAAAAACAUUUCCCCAUGGCUACAGCUUUGAAAACCCCCUCUCCUCACCAGUCGGGGCGCCCACUCCCCUGUCAAUCUCUUCCCAUCGCUUCCCAUCCGCUGAAAGUCAAAAACAACCCCACCCCCACCCCAAAGAUCAAACCUGGUAGGCACACACACACACACCCUUCACAACCUCGGAGCAGUGCAGUUCUGUGUUUCUACCUCAGCGAAGAGGGAGCAGGCCGCAGGAGAACCCUACCAGCACCUGUGUGUCUCCAGAUUCAGCAGUCACAGCGUGUCAUCUCCCAAGAAACUUCCAGAACUGCUCUGGCAGGGCAGACCCUCCCCCACUUGAUUUUUUUUUUUUUCUUCUUCUGGAAACCUUGAUUCUCCUCCAAGGUGCUCCCUACACUAAUCUAUUCCCCUGCUACAGCUCCCUCUUAGAGGGGAGGGGGGCUCUGUUAUAGAUUGAGUACCUCCCCCCCUAAUUCCUGUGUGUGGAAGCAAUCUCCUCAAAAUUGAAAGCAUUCUGUCACACAGGGAAGCUGUAGGCUCUGAGACACAUGAAGUAAAGCCAACUUAACAGGCUUACACUAGUCACAGGGAGCCUUCCUGAGCAGUAACGCGGUAACGGUCCACAGCCGGGCUGUUGGAGGGUCACUCCCGUAUGUAACCCUGGUACUUCUGACCAAUAAACUCCUUGGUUCACCAAGGCGGACUUCACUGUGGUUGGUAGCUGUGUGGGUGGAUGGGGGUGUGGGGUGUGUGUGCCUGGAGCCACCUCCCUACUGCUCUCUGCCUUAUACCCUUGAGGCAGAGUCUCUUCCGGUAUCUAGAGCUAGGCUGGCUGCUUACAAGCCCCCAAGAAGCAAUCCUUUGGUCUCCACCCCCAGCCCAUUCCCCACCCCCAACACACACAAACACACACACACACACACACACACACACACACACUCCCUGGAACAAAGGUCCUGGAUAUUUCAGGGUCCUCCUGCUUGUGCAGCAAAACCUCUUACCCCCACUGAGCUGUCAGCCAUCUCCUGUUACUUUGACCCACUGUCAGUGUUCUGUCUGGUAAAAGUUAAUUUCACAUUAUGCUAAGGCAACAAGACUUCAAAAUGACCUUAUAUGGACAUUGGAGCUGUCCAGAGCAUGGCGGUACAGGCCUGUCACUGUAGCAAUCCAGAAGCCGAGGCCAAGGCUGAGGCAGGGGAACCACACACUCCAGACAAACCUGAACUGCCUGGAGAGACUUCAGGAAACAAGCAGAAUGACCAUUUUAACCUUUUGUGUGUGGGUGCAUGUGCGUGCAGAGGUGUGUACAAGCGUGUGGUGGCCUGAAGUUGUCAAACCAAGUGUUGUGGUGGUUUGAAUAGGUAUGCCCCCCCCCCCCCAUAGACUCCUGUGUGAAUGCUUGGCCCAUAAGGAUUAACCUAGGAGGUGUGGCCUUGUUGGAGUGGGUGUGGCCUUAUUGGGAGGAAGUGUGUCACUGAGGGCUUUAAGGUUUCCUAUGGUCAAACUAUGCCCCUUUUGCUGUCUGUUGAUCUAGAUGUAGAACUCUGAGUUCCUUCUCCAGCACCAUGUCUGCCUGCGUGCUGCCAGGCUUCCCACCAUGACCUCUGAACUGUAAGCCAGCCCCAAUCAAAUGCUUUCCUUUAUAAGAGUUGCCUUGGUCAUGCUGUCUCUUCACAGCAAUAAAACCUUAACUAAAAGGAGUAUCUUUGUUGUGCUCUGUCCACAUUAUCAAUCUGGGCAGGAUCUGCUAAGCAUGUUUAGUCCCAGCACUGUGAGUUGGAGGACAGCCUGGUCUACAGAGCAAGUUCCAGGAUAGCCAGGAAGUGAGUUGGGAGGGGCGGAGGGGGGGAUGGAUGGGCGGGAUCUCUCACUGAGCCUGGAUCUGAGUGAUUCUAACUACCUAAGCUCUCUGUCUUGCCCCAGGACUUCUCUGUUUACUAACUAACGUCUGUGUACUGGAUUGCAGGCAACUGUCACACCUGCAUCCGGGCACCCACAUGCUGGUCCUCACACCGCAGAGCUGUGCCUUAUCCAGAGUUGUCUCCCCAGCCAUAUUUAACCAGUUGGCUGGUUGGUUACUUUGUUUUGGUUUUUUGCAAGGGAGAGGGAGGUAUUGAAACACGGCCUAGGCUAGGUCAUGUAGACUAGGCCAGCUUUGUACUCGUGAGUGAUCUGUCUGCUUCUGCCUCACUAAUGCUGGGAUUAAAGGUGCACACCAUGGGGUUGGGGAUUUAGCUCAGUGGUAGAGCGCUUGCCUAGGAAGCGCAAGGCCCUGGGUUCGGUCCCCAGCUCUGGGGGGAAAAAAAAAAGAACCAAAUAAAGGUGCACACCACGAUACUCAGCUUAACUCAUUUUAACUGUGUGUGUGUGUGUGUGUGUGUGUGUGUUAUUUAUGUUCUAUGUGUGCACAGAGAAUGCACAUUGCCACAGUGCAAAUAUGGAAGUCAGAGGAGAAACUGCCUGCAGAAGAUGGUUCUUUUUCUACCUUGUGAGUGCCUAAUAUCAAACCCUGGUUGUCAGGCUUGGUGGCAAAGAUGGAGACACGUCACUGGCUUGCUGUUUUAAGCACUUUGUGUAUGUGUGUGUGUGUGUGUGUGUGUGUGUAUACAUAUAUAUAUAUACAUAUAUAUAUAUACAUAUAUAUAUAUAUGACUUAUUUAUUUUUUUAUUUAAUGUAUGUGAGUACACUGUAACUGUCUUCAUGCACACCAGAAGAGGGCAUCUGAUCCUAUUACAGAUGGUUGUGAGCCACCAUGUGGUUGCUGGGAUUUGAACUCAGGACCUCUGGAAGAGCAGUCAAGUGUUCUUAACCACUGAGCCAUUUCUCCAGCCCAUUUUAACCAUUUUUUUUUUCUUUUUUUUGGAGCUGGGGA